rnacentral:lncRNA from 1 species
CUAUAUCGUGAUUCGCUAUCUUGCUUACGACAUAGAGAUGUCACCGGUGACCUGAGGGCAUGGUAUGCUUGGUUGAGUCCCUCGAGGGUAUAUCAUCAAAUCAGACUCAUCUUGUAACGAAGGUGUUGACUUAACCGAGCAUCAUGGUUGGUCGAGUCCCUCGAGGCCAUGGUGAUUCGGAGGCCGAAUAGGACGGGAAUCACAAGGAGUUGUGAUCGGCAAGAGUUGCCUACCUUUUAGGCUUAGUGUGAUUGGUCGAGU